rnacentral:rRNA from 1 species
UACGUAGGUGACCAGCGUUGUCCGGAUUUACUGGGCGUAAAGAGCGCGCAGGCGGUCGUUCAAGUCGAGUGUGAAAGCCCCCGGCUCAACUGGGGAGGGUCAUUCGAUACUGAUCGACUUGAAGGCAGGAGAGGGAAGCGGAAUUCCCGGUGUAGUGGUGAAAUGCGUAGAUAUCGGGAGGAACACCAGUGGCGAAGGCGGCCUGCUGGGCCACGACCGACACUGAGGUGCGAAAGCGUGGGGAGCGAACCGG